GAUGAACGCUGCCGGCGUGCCUAAUACAUGCAAGUCGAGCGAACAGACGAGGAGCUUGCUCCUCUGACGUUAGCGGCGGACGGGUGAGUAACACGUGGAUAACCUACCUAUAAGACUGGGAUAACUUCGGGAAACCGGAGCUAAUACCGGAUAAUAUAUUGAACCGCAUGGUUCAAUAGUGAAAGACGGUUUUGCUGUCACUUAUAGAUGGAUCCGCGCCGCAUUAGCUAGUUGGUAAGGUAACGGCUUACCAAGGCAACGAUGCGUAGCCGACCUGAGAGGGUGAUCGGCCACACGGGAACUGAGACACGGUCCAGACUCCUACGGGAGGCAGCAGUAGGGAAUCUUCCGCAAUGGUCGAAAGCCUGACGGAGCAACGCCGCGUGAGUGAUGAAGGUCUUCGGAUCGUAAAACUCUGUUAUUAGGGAAGAACAAAUGUGUAAGUAACUAUGCACGUCUUGACGGUACCUAAUCAGAAAGCCACGGCUAACUACGUG
rnacentral:rRNA from 1 species